CCUACGGGAGGCAGCAGUGGGGAAUAUUGGACAAUGGGCGCAAGCCUGAUCCAGCCAUGCCGCGUGAGUGAUGAAGGCCUUAGGGUUGCAAAGCUCUUUUACCAGGGAAGAUAAUGACUGUACCUGGAGAAUAAGCCCCGGCUAACUUCGUGCCAGCAGCCGCGGUAAUACGAAGGGGGCUAGCGUUGCUCGGAAUCACUGGGCGUAAAGCGCACGUAGGCGGGUUGUUAAGUCAGGGGUGAAAUCCUGGAGCUCAACUCCAGAACUGCCUUUGAUACUGGCAAUCUUCGAGUCCGGGAGAGGUGGGUGGAACUGCGAGUGUAGAGGUGAAAUUCGUAGAUAUUCGCAAGAACACCAGUGGCGAAGGCGGCUCACUGGCCCGGUACUGACGCUGAGGUGCGAAAGCGUAGGGGAGCAAACAGGAUUAGAUACCCUGGUAGUCCACGCCGUAAACGAUGGAAGCUAGCCGUUGGUGAGCUUGCUCNUCAGUGGCGCGACGACGUACGACAUUAAGUACGUUCCGUCCGUCGGGAGGUACGGUCGCGAAGAAGUAAACGUACAAUAGUAAGUAGACGGACGUGAGACGUAGACCGAACGGACGACGACGAGGGAGGAGG
rnacentral:rRNA from 1 species